ACCCUGAUCCAGCCAUGCCGCGUGUGUGAAGAAGGCCUUUUGGUUGUAAAGCACUUUAAGCGAGGAGGAGGCUACCGAGAUUAAUACUCUUGGAUAGUGGACGUUACUCGCAGAAUAAGCACCGGCUAACUCUGUGCCAGCAGCCGCGGUAAUACAGAGGGUGCAAGCGUUAAUCGGAUUUACUGGGCGUAAAGCGCGCGUAGGUGGCCAAUUAAGUCAAAUGUGAAAUCCCCGAGCUUAACUUGGGAAUUGCAUUCGAUACUGGUUGGCUAGAGUAUGGGAGAGGAUGGUAGAAUUCCAGGUGUAGCGGUGAAAUGCGUAGAGAUCUGGAGGAAUACCGAUGGCGAAGGCAGCCAUCUGGCCUAAUACUGACACUGAGGUGCGAAAGCAUGGGGAGCAAACAGGAUUAGAUACCCUGGUAGUCCAUGCCGUAAACGAUGUCUACUAGCCGUUGGGGCCUUUGAGGCUUUAGUGGCGCAGCUAACGCGAUA
rnacentral:rRNA from 1 species